rnacentral:piRNA from 1 species
UGUGUGGAAGAAAGGCAAGCCCUGUUAUCU